CGACGAGUUCCCGCAAAACGUACCUGUUCGGGCCUCUGUUUCAUCGCUCGACUAGGGGAAACCCUUUCCCCCACCCCGCGAUAGGAGCCAGACGAGGCAGCACGCGAGAAACCUCGACGGCGACGCGCAGAUUGAGGUGAAAAAAUUCAUGCUUUACUCUGUCAGUUGAGAUGUUGAAUAUGUGAUGCUCUAUCCUGCUCAUGUGAUGAUUGAACAAUUGAUGUUUUUCUCUCUCAAUUGAUAUGUUGUGUCCUGCUCAUGUGUAGAUUUAAUAGUGCAUGCUUUCUUUGUCAAAGGAGAUGGUGAAAUAAUGAUGUUGUGUGCUGCUAAUGCCAAGUUCAUAAUUA